AUGGACGCGGCGGCGCCGUCGCGGCGCGCGGGGCCGAGGCGGGACAGGCCCCUCAUCCCUCCCAACUACGUAAGCCUCCGGGACCUCCAGGAGCUCCGCCUCAAGGAGAAGGCGGAGCGGCGGCGGCGCCAGGAGGCGGAGGAGGCCGCCGCCAGGAGGGAGGCCGAGGAGGAGGAGCAGGAGCGGCAGCUGCGGAAGGAGGCGGAGGCGGAGGCCGCCGCGAGGAGGGCUAAGGAGGAGGAGGAGGCCGCCGCGGCAAGGAGGGUUAGGGAUGCGGCGGCGGCGGCGGAGAUGAAGGGCUCCUCCUCGUCGUCGCGUGCCCCCUUCAGGUAUAAUGAGAGGCCCCGCGUGGUGGUCGUGGCGCAUCGCCCUCCGCCGCCGCGCGGGGAGGGUUCGGCCGUGAAUAGUGGUGGCGCCGCGGGAGGCAGCAAGGGGCCGGGCGGCGACGCGGCCAAUGGAACCCUAGGCGGCGGAGGUGGAGGCAAGGCGCGGGAUGAGGGGAAGGGGAAGGCCUCCGCGGGUUUGAUUGCCGGCGACCCAGCCGAGACAGCUACCGGCGGCAAGCCGGAGGAGAAGGGCAAGGGGGAGGCCUCUGGAUGUCAGGGCACGGCAUUGGGGACGAGCAGCUUGCCAGGCGAGCUGGCCGAGGUGGACACUGCUUCAUACCGAGGCGGCGUCAAGCCCAGGUACAAGCACAAGGGGAAGAAAGGUUUCGAUGGCCGGAGCACAGAAACAGCCAUGGCCGGCUCAUUGGUUGAGGCGGUAACGGCAUCGCCACCGCGAGUCGUUGAUUCGGAGAACAAGGGGAAGGCUGGAUCGAGUAAUCAGAGCGCAGGAAAAGCUUCGGCAAGCUCACAGGGCGAGGCAGCUGAGGAUUCACCAUUGCAGGGAGUCAAGUCGGUUAACAAGUGGAAGAAGAAGAAUAAACCCUCAGGAGGAAGGCAGGCAGGCGCAGCACCGAGCGGCGAUUGGCCGAACGGGAGGAGGGACCAGCCACGGCCGGGCAGCCGCGGCCGGAGGAACGGCGAUGGUCAAGGAACCAUCUGGGAAGUAAAAUCCAAUGGCCUUGGGGGAAAGCAGCCGGAGGUGGAGGGGAAGGCCCAAUCGCAUCCGCUCACUGAGAGCAGCAGCAACAGAAGGAGGGGCAGUGGUCAAGGAAUGAUCAGGAAGGCAGAAUUUGAGGACUUUGGGGAGAAGGAGCCGGCGGUUGAGAUGAGGGCGCAGCCGCAUACGGCUGCUGACAGCAGUAGCUAUCCAACAAGUAGCCGUGAUCAAGGAAUGAACAGGAAGGCAAAAUCCGAGGACUUUGGGGAGAAGCAGGUGGUGGCCGAGAUUAGAGCGCAGCCGCAUCCGGCUGCUGAUAGCAGUAUCAAUCGAAGGAGCAGCAGUGGUCAAGAGAUGAACCAGGAGGCAGAUUCCAAUGGCUUAGAGAAGCAGCCAGUUGUGGAGAUGAGAGCCGUGGCCCAGCAGAAGCCGUGUGAUGCGAGGAUCUCCCAUGGGCGGCGUCGCCCUGGUGAUCACAGCCGAGCGAAUGGCGCCGCAAGGCAGCAGGGCUGCAUCUGGGUGCCCAAGGCUGCUGCUGUCCCAGUCCGCACCGAAGUCGGAAACAUUCCGUAG
rnacentral:rRNA from 1 species